rnacentral:tRNA from 1 species
GGAGAGGUGGCUGAGUGGUCGAAAGCGGCAGACUCGAAAUCUGUUGUACCGGUAACGGUACCGUGGGUUCGACUCCCACCCUCUCCG